AACAACAUUUUUAAACUACAAUACUACUACUACAGUCGAGGGUGUUAGCCAACACCGACUCGAGAAUCACGGAUGGCUGCUCUCCACAGGUCGCUGUUGAUCAUAAGGGCGCGAA